rnacentral:rRNA from 1 species
GAACGGGUGAGUAACACGUGGGUGAUCUGCCCUGCACUUUGGGAUAAGCCUGGGAAACUGGGUCUAAUACCGAAUAGGACCACGCGCUUCAUGGUGUGUGGUGGAAAGCUUUUGCGGUGUGGGAUGGGCCCGCGGCCUAUCAGCUUGUUGGUGGGGUAAUGGCCUACCAAGGCGACGACGGGUAGCCGGCCUGAGAGGGUGACCGGCCACACUGGGACUGAGAUACGGCCCAGACUCCUACGGGAGGCAGCAGUGGGGAAUAUUGCACAAUGGGCGCAAGCCUGAUGCAGCGACGCCGCGUGAGGGAUGACGGCCUUCGGGUUGUAAACCUCUUUCAAUAGGGACGAAGCGCAAGUGACGGUACCUAUAGAAGAAGCACCGGCCAACUACGUGCCAGCAGCCGCGGUAAUACGUAGGGUGCGAGCGUUGUCCGGAAUUACUGGGCGUAAAGAGCUCGUAGGUGGUUUGUCGCGUUGUUCGUGAAAACUCACAGCUUAACUGUGGGCGUGCGGGCGAUACGGGCAGACUAGAGUACUGCAGGGGAGACUGGAAUUCCUGGUGUAGCGGUGGAAUGCGCAGAUAUCAGGAGGAACACCGGUGGCGAAGGCGGGUCUCUGGGCAGUAACUGACGCUGAGGAGCGAAAGCGUGGGGAGCGAACAGGAUUAGAUACCCUGGUAGUCCACGCCGUANACGGUGGGUACUAGGUGUGGGUUCCUUCCUCGGGAUCCGUGCCGUAGCUAACGCAUUAAGUACCCCGCCUGGGGAGUACGGCCGCAAGGC